rnacentral:lncRNA from 1 species
AGCACCUUCCCGCAGCGCUGCCCCACAUCCCUGCCCCACGGCCACGUCCCGGCGGUGGCUGCGGGCAGGUGGUACUGCCCCUGUCCCCUCCACCUGCUGUCCCCUUGGGAAGGUGCCCGGGGGGCUCCGGGUUGUGUGGCCCACCCUGCACCAGGUCUCCUGGGCACAGAGGGUGGGAUGAGCUGAGCGGAGGGACCCCCACCGGGACCCCCACCCACCCUGUGAGAUCCACGGAGCCAGGGACAUCAUCCCCCCCGUGCCAGGGGGUGGCAGAGGAGCGGGUGGGGAGGUUUCCAGGUGAGAACCACGAGCCUGGAGCUGAGCUUUUGGAGCAGGGCAGGGAGCGGACGGGGCCGCGUGCGCUGCGGGCGUGCAGCGUGCAGGGCCGGGGUAUUUUUAUCCCGUGCUUGAUGGAUCGGUGCACGGCUUCACUGCUGCCAGAUGAUUUUCCACCGGUUCCAUCACAUAGCAAUUUAAGAUGAAACUGAAUUGGAGAAGAGAUCCAAAUGCCAAGGAGGAGAGCAGACACACGAGCGGGUCCCGCUGAGCCCACGGGCAGGUGGAGGCUGGAAGAACACAGCUGCGCCAUUUGGGAGAAAAUGAUCCGAAUCGGGCUGCGAGCCACCAGGAGGGAGAGUCCCGUGGGGCUGAGCGAGGCACGGCACGGGGUCUGCCACAUCCGACAUUUUCGGAGCAAAAUAUUGCUGGAAAAUCCUUGCCCAGACCAAAAUCCAGCCUCUGCCCCACGUCGGAGGUGCAGGACGUGGGUGAGCACCACCGUGGCAUCCCCUCUCCCCCCAAGGUUCCACAUCCUCAUUUCCCGGGCGCGGAUAAGAUGUUUGCGCCACGAACGGCAUCUUCUGUCAGCAUGAAAUCCCUCUCGUUGUUGGAGUGUGGAAAAUGGAAGAAUGCUUUGUAAUAUGGUUACACGUAGCCUGCACAUCUCAGGUCUCAUACAUUUUUG